rnacentral:rRNA from 1 species
CCUACGGGGGGCAGCAGUGAGGAAUAUUGGUCAAUGGGCGGAAGCCUGAACCAGCCAAGUAGCGUGCGGGAUGAAGGCCCUACGGGUUGUAAACCGCUUUUGCACGGGGAUAACACCCUCCACGUGUGGAGGUCUGCAGGUACCGUGCGAAUAAGCGUCGGCUAACUCCGUGCCAGCAGCCGCGGUAAUACGGAAGGUGCGAGCGUUAUCCGGAUUUAUUGGGAUUAAAGGGAGCGUAGGCGGGUGUUCAAGUCAGCGGUAAAAUUGCGGGGCUCAACCUCGCACCGCAGUUGAAACUGGGAGCCUUGAGUGCACAAGAGGCAGGCGGAAUGCGUGGUGUAGCGGUGAAAUGCAUAGAGAUCACGAAGAACCCCGAUUGCGAAGGCAGCCUGCCGGGGUGCGACUGACGCUGAGGCUCGAAGGUGCGGGUAUCAAACAGGAUUAGAUACCCCUGUAGUC